AAACUAACAAGGAUUCCCCUAGUAGCGGCGAGCGAAGCGGGAUGAGCUCAAAUUUGAAAGCUGGUGUCCUUCGGGCAUCCGCAUUGUAAUCUAUAGAGGCGUUUUCCGUGCCGGACCGUGUCCAAGUCCCUUGGAACAGGGUAUCAAAGAGGGUGACAAUCCCGUACUUGACACGACGACCGGUGCUCUGUGAUACGUCUUCUACGAGUCGAGUUGUUUGGGAAUGCAGCUCAAAAUGGGUGGUAAAUUCCAUCUAAAGCUAAAUAUUGGCGAGAGACCGAUAGCGAACAAGUACCGUGAGGGAAAGAUGAAAAGCACUUUGGAAAGAGAGUUAAACAGUAUGUGAAAUUGUUGAAAGGGAAACGAUUGAGGUCAGUCGUGUCUGUAGGAUUCAGCCGUCUCUGGCGGUGUAUUUCCUGCAGACGGGUCAACAUCAGUUCUGACCGGUGGAUAAUGGCAGGAGGAAAGUGGCACCCUCGGGUGUGUUAUAGCCUCUUGUCGCAUACAUCGGUUGGGACUGAGGACUGCAGCUCGCCUUUAUGGCCGGGGUUCGCCCACGUUCGAGCUUAGGAUGUUGACAAAAUGGCCUUAAACGAC
rnacentral:rRNA from 1 species